CCAGACUCCUACGGGAGGCAGCAGUGGGGGAUAUUGCACAAUGGGGGGAACCCUGAUGCAGCGACGCCGCGUGGGUGAAGAAGCGCCUCGGCGCGUAAAGCCCUGUCAGCAGGGAAGAAAAUGACGGUACCUGAAGAAGAAGCCCCGGCUAACUACGUGCCAGCAGCCGCGGUAAUACGUAGGGGGCAAGCGUUAUCCGGAUUUACUGGGUGUAAAGGGGGCGCAGACGGCAGCGCAAGCCAGGAGUGAAAGCCCGGGGCCCAACCCCGGGACUGCUCUUGGAACUGCGCGGCUGGAGUGCAGGAGGGGCAGGCGGAAUUCCUGGUGUAGCGGUGAAAUGCGUAGAUAUCGGGAGGAACACCAGUGGCGAAGGCGGUUUACUGGACCACAACUGACGCUGAGACACGAAAGCGUGGGGAGCAAACAGGAUUAGAUACCCGAGUA
rnacentral:rRNA from 1 species